UAACUAUCGAGGAAGCGUAUCAAAGAAAGCAAAAGUAUGACCGAAAAGACCCAAGGGCAACAGUAAUUGAUGACAAAAUCAUACAGUUUAUUACGCUUGACGACCAGCCUUUUUCAAUCGUUGAAGACGUAGGAUUUUGUCAGCUAAUGCGGCACGUUGAACCCCGCUAGGAAAUAUAUAAACAUGUUAUCCAUGAAUUAUCGGUUUAUCAGUUUCUGUUGGCCAGAAAAAAUGGGUUAUCGGUUAUCUGUUAAAAAUUCUGUUAUCGUGCAUCACUA